UACGAAGGGGGCUAGCGUUGCUCGGAAUCACUGGGCGUAAAGGGUGCGUAGGCGGGUCUUUAAGUCAGGGGUGAAAUCCUGGAGCUCAACUCCAGAACUGCCUUUGAUACUGAGGAUCUUGAGUUCGGGAGAGGUGAGUGGAACUGAGAGUGUAGAGGUGAAAUUCGUAGAUAUUCGCAAGAACACCAGUGGCGAAGGCGGCUCACUGGCCCGAUACUGACGCUGAGGCACGAAAGCGUGGGGAGCAAACAGG
rnacentral:rRNA from 1 species